UACGGAGGGGGGCUAGCGUUGUUCGGAAUUACUGGGCGUAAAGCGCGCGUAGGCGGACCUGCAAGUCGGGGGUGAAAGCCCGAGGCUCAACCUCGGAACUGCCUUCGAUACUGCGGGUCUCGAGUCCGGGAGAGGUGAGUGGAAUUCCUAGUGUAGAGGUGAAAUUCGUAGAUAUUAGGAAGAACACCAGUGGCGAAGGCGGCUUACUGGUCCGGUUCUGACGCUGAGGCGCGAAAGCGUGGGGAGCAAACAGG
rnacentral:rRNA from 1 species